GAUCCAGAACAUCGCCUCGGUUCGGGUGAGGCUGGUGCCAAAAUGGUGAAAGAGCACCUCUUCUUCAGAGUAGGUUUCUAUUCUAUUUACUUUGAUUUACAGACAAAAAAAGCACUAAUGAAUAUUGCCAGAGCCUCAAAAUGCAUUUUAACUUUUUUUCCCAACAAUUCUAGUUUUUGGACUAGAUACUAAUUAUGAAAUAUCACCUAUCUUUCAGGAUAUGGACUGGGACCAUCUAUUACACCAAAGAAUAAGGCCUCCGUUUGAACUGGACAACCAAGACCACCUGGAGAGCCGCGAGAACCCUGAAUGCCAAGCUCCAGCACUGACACCGCCUGCUGUAAGGAUUCCAUCAGAGCUUGCAAGAGGCAUUCAGAGGAUUCUCAAUGAACAUCAAAUAAGUAGACGGAAUAGAUGGGGAGGGUGGAGGGCCAGUCCAUAUCUAUAGAAGAAUUCCAUUCAUGAAGAUCAGAGAUCUAGAAUAUCGAAGAUCCAGAAAGAUCCAGAACAUCGCCUCGGUUCGGGUGAGGCUGGUGCCAAAAUGGUGAAAGAGCACCUCUUCUUCAGAGUAGGUUUCUAUUCUAUUUAUUUUGAUUUACAGACAAAAAAAGCACUAAUGAAUAUUGCCAGAGCCUCAAAAUGCAUUUUAACUUUUUUUUCCAACAAUUCUAGUUUUUGGACUAGAUACUUAUUAUGAAAUAUCACUUAUCUUACAGGGUAUGGACUGGGACCAUCUAUUACACCAAAGAAUAAGGCCUCCGUUUGAACUGGACAACCAAGACCACCUGGAGAGCCGCGAGAACCCUGAAUGCCAAGCUCCAGCACUGACACCGCCUGCUGUAAGGAUUCCAUCAGAGCUGCAAGAGGCAUUCAGAGGAUUCUCAUUGAACAUCAAAUAAGUAGACGGAAUGGAUGGGGAGGGUGGAGGGCCAGUCCAUACCCAUAUAAGAAGUCUAUUCAUAUAAAGUGACGAUCAGGUGACCCACCUUAAUAAGUUCUGACUGAGUAGGCUAAUGUAGGAAUAGUCUGCUCAUGGUUUGUAACAUAUUCCAAAACUUCACCUGUAUAACAUGCAAGUAAGAUCUAGAAGCAAGGUGAGAAACAAACUGUAUUUUUAUCACAACGGCUGACACUGUAACAUCCUGCCUGGUUUUAAAUAGCUGCUCUAUUUGAACAGAUAACUAAGUGUUUGGUUCAGUUUGCCCCACAAUGCAUUCUGUAAUUACUGACUCCUUCUCUAUAAUUGACAUUUGGCGCCCUUGCCUGUCCCAUGGGAGUCUCUGGAUUCUCAUAUGGUAAGACCUGUUAGCACCCGAGCAGCUGAGUUUUAGGCCCAAAGCCAAAGGUGGCUGUUAUAGAAGAGCAGGCCAAGACUCCCUGUGGUUUGGGAUUCCCUUAAGUGACAAACAGGAAAGUAAAACCUGGCACCAAGUUAGGAAACAAACCAAUAGUUGGCACUACCUCACAUUGUGUGUAUUUGCUUUCUGGUAAGGUUGCAGUUGCCACCUUGGGAGAUCCAGAGAAGAAGAUAUUGAAGAUAUUAAAGGUGGUUACCAUUUUAUCCACGCCAAGAUGUGAGACAGCGUGGCAACAGUCAAAGGAAAUCUUAUUCUGUAAUGAAGACCAUGGAUCAUAUACUGAACAUUGUACCAAACACUCACUGGAGUCCGUGUGAAGAAAGAAGCCUGUACCCCACCUGCCUAGUGCCACCCACUUUUCCUACUCCAAUAGGCACUAUUUCAUAUAUAACUUGUUUGUUCUGCUCACAUUAUGUAUAUAAUUAUACAAAUAAAAAUAUUGCUUCUAAGAA